CUUAGCUCCCGAAUCAUAUCAGCCCUACACAGGUAGUGCCAUCAUACACCAUUUGUCAUAUAAAUACAAGGCACUGCCUGCUCUGUGAAUGAGAUGCAGCCAUCCCAAAUACCCAGUGUUUCAGAUGAACAAUUAUUAUUUUAGGGUCCUAUCUCACCAUCCUAAUUUGUAGGCUCACACUUACUUUCAGUAGGUGCCCCUGCAUCUUUCCAGGUGGGCCUGCCCAUUGAUUACUAUGGGUUUCUACUAUGGGUUACCUGUCAACUAGGUCCAUCUUUGCAUACCUCCCAAUGUUAUGUUGGCAAGUAUGGAAAUGGAGCCAGAGAGGGUGGAAGCAGGACUGUGACAUCAUAAAAACCCUAUAUUCUCACUAACUACAAGGCCUGUAGCAUAGAGAGCAGGCAUAGAGCUGGUGUGACUGUUAUUGUAUAUGAAGUUGGGAGAGACUGUUACUGCUGAUUCACAGACCUGGGC